rnacentral:rRNA from 1 species
CGUUGUCCGGAAUUAUUGGGCGUAAAGAGCUUGUAGGCGGUUUGUCGCGUCUGCCGUGAAAAUCCGGGGCUCAACUCCGGACUUGCGGUGGGUACGGGCAGACUAGAGUGUGGUAGGGGAGACUGGAAUUCCUGGUGUAGCGGUGAAAUGCGCAGAUAUCAGGAGGAACACCGAUGGCGAAGGCAGGUCUCUGGGCCACUACUGACGCUGAGAAGCGAAAGCGUGGGGAGCGAACAGGAUUAGAUACCCUGGUAGUCCACGCCGUAAACGUUGGGAACUAGGUGUGGGUCUCAUUCCACGAGAUCCGUGCCGCAGCUAACGCAUUAAGUUCCCCGCCUGGGGAGUACGGCCGCAAGGCUAAAACUCAAAGGAAUUGACGGGGGCCCGCACAAGCGGCGGAGCAUGUGGAUUAAUUCGAUGCAACGCGAAGAACCUUACCAAGGCUUGACAUACACCGGAAACAUUCAGAGAUGGGUGCCCCGUAAGGUCGGUGUACAGGUGGUGCAUGGUUGUCGUCAGCUCGUGUCGUGAGAUGUUGGGUUAAGUCCCGCAACGAGCGCAACCCUCGUUCCAUGUUGCCAGCAACACUUUUAGUGGUUGGGGACUCAUGGGAGACUGCCGGGGUCAACUCGGAGGAAGGUGGGGAUGACGUCAAAUCAUCAUGCCCCUUAUGUCUUGGGCUUCACACAUGCUACAAUGGCCGGUACAAAGGGCUGCGAUACCGCGAGGUGGAGCGAAUCCCAAAAAACCGGUCUCAGUUCGGAUUGGGGUCUGCAACUCGACCCCAUGAAGUCGGAGUCGCUAGUAAUCGCAGAUCAGCAACGCUGCGGUGAUACGUUCCCGGGCCUUGUACACACCGCCCGU